UACGUAGGGUGCAAGCGUUGUUCGGAUAUACUGGGCGUAAAGCGCACGUAGGCGGCGCCGUAAGUCAGGGGUGAAAGCCCGGGGCUCAACUCCGGAACGUGCCUUUAAGACUGCAUCGCUUGAAUCCAGGAGAGGUGAGUGGAAUUCCGAGUGUAGAGGUGAAAUUCGUAGAUAUUCGGAAGAACACCAGUGGCGAAGGCGGCUCACUGGACUGGUAUUGACGCUGAGGUGCGAAAGCGUGGGGAGCAAACAGG
rnacentral:rRNA from 1 species